rnacentral:rRNA from 1 species
UGGGGAAUAUUGGACAAUGGAGGAAACUCUGAUCCAGCAAUUCUGUGUGUGUGAAGAAGGUUUUAGGACUGUAAAACACUUUUAGUAGGGAAGAAAAAAAUGACGGUACCUACAGAAGAAGCAACGGCUAAAUACGUGCCAGCAGCCGCGGUAAUACGUAUGUUGCGAGCGUUAUCCGGAAUUAUUGGGCUUAAAGGGCAUCUAGGCGGUAAGACAAGUUGAAGGUGAAAACCUGUGGCUCAACCAUAGGCUUGCCUACAAAACUGUUGAACUAGAGUACUGGAAAGGUGGGUGGAACUACACGAGUAGAGGUGAAAUUCGUAGAUAUGUGUAGGAAUGCCGAUGAUGAAGAUAACUCACUGGACAGAAACUGACGCUGAAGUGCGAAAGCUAGGGAAGCAAACAGG